UACGUAGGUGGCAAGCGUUGUCCGGAUUUAUUGGGUUUAAAGGGUGCGUAGGCGGUCUUAUAAGUCAGUGCUGAAAUAUCCCGGCUUAACCGGGAGGGUGGCAUUGAUACUGUAGGACUUGAGUAGAGUUGAGGUUGGCGGAAUUGACGGUGUAGCGGUGAAAUGCUUAGAUAUCGUCAAGAACACCGAUAGUGAAGACAGCUA
rnacentral:rRNA from 1 species